rnacentral:rRNA from 1 species
UACGUAGGGUGCAAGCGUUGUCCGGAAUUAUUGGGCGUAAAGAGCUCGUAGGCGGUCUGUCGCGUCGGGUGUGAAAAUCAGGGCUCAACCCUGGACCUGCAUUCGAUACGGGCAGACUAGAGUUCGGCAGGGGAGACUGGAAUUCCUGGUGUAGCGGUGAAAUGCGCAGAUAUCAGGAGGAACACCAAUGGCGAAGGCAGCUCGCUGGAACGGUACUGACGCUGAGGCGCGAAAGCAUGGGGAGCGAA